AGCCAGACUCCUACGGGAGGCAGCAGUGAGGAAUAUUGGUCAAUGGGCGGAAGCCUGAACCAGCCAAGUCGCGUGAGGGAAUAAGGCCCUACGGGUCGUAAGCCUCUUUUGCCGGGGAGCAAGGGCGGGGACGUGUCCCGGCCCGGAGAGUACCCGGAGAAAAAGCAUCGGCUAACUCCGUGCCAGCAGCCGCGGUAAUACGGAGGAUGCGAGCGUUAUCCGGAUUUAUUGGGUUUAAAGGGUGCGUAGGCGGACUUUUAGGUCGGCGGUAAAAAUUCGGGGCUCAACCCCGUCCGGCCGUUGAAACUGGGGGCCUUGAGUGGGCGAGAAGAAGGCGGAAUGCGUGGUGUAGCGGUGAAAUGCAUAGAUAUCACGCAGAACCCCGAUUGCGAAGGCAGCAUACCGGUGCACAACUGACGCUCAGGCACGAAAGCGUGGGUAUCGAACAGGAUUAGAUCCCCG
rnacentral:rRNA from 1 species